UAAUGCGCAGGUAGCAACAGCGCAUCCGCAUGUAGACUGGCCGGUGGUACUGAGAAGCGUGGAAAUUUGAUGGAUUGCCCUGAUUUUCAUUUAUAAUUUAGAAAGUUUUUAAUUUUUGAUGAUAUUUCGUUGAGAGUAAUAACUUUGCAUCAGGCAUAUAAAAUGAAUCUUAUAACAAUUUUAGAAAAAACUGUAUCUCCAGAUAAAAUUGAACUAGAAGCAGCACAACAUUAUCUUGAACAAGCUGCACAGACAAAUUUGCCAGAAUUCUUGAAAUCACUGUCAGAUGUACUUCAACAUGCAGGCAAUAGUCCCGUGGCUAGAAUGGCAGCUGGCCUACAGCUCAAAAAUUCUCUCACUUCUAAAGAUUCUGAAAUCAGGGUUCAGUAUCAACAGAGGUGGUUUCAGUUCCCAGAGGAUAUUAAAACAUAUAUUAAAAAGAAUGUAUUGGCAUCCCUAGGAACAGAAACCAUUAGACCUAGUUCAGCAGCACAGUGUGUUGCUUAUGUUGCUGUAGCAGAACUACCACAUGGUCAUUGGCCAGAACUUAUUCAGAUCCUCACUCAGAACAUAACUGACCCAAGCAGUUCUGAGAUGAUGAAAGAAUCAACUUUAGAAACUAUAGGAUAUAUUUGUCAAGAUAUAGAACCUGAUGUUCUUGUUACUCAAUCCAAUGACAUUUUAACAGCAAUAGUUCAUGGAAUGCGAAAAGAUGAACCCAGUGAUCAUGUAAAGCUAGCUGCCACCAAUGCACUUUUAAAUUCGUUAGAGUUUACCAAAGCAAACUUUGCAAAAGACUCUGAACGUCACUUUAUAAUGCAAGUUGUUUGUGAAGCAACCCAGUCAUCAAACACUCAGGUGCGUGUAGCAUCACUUCAGUGCUUAGUGAAGAUCAUGUCACUUUAUUAUCAAUAUAUGGAACACUACAUGGGCCCUGCUUUAUUUGCUAUCACGAUUGAAGCCAUGAAAAGUGAAACUGAUGAAGUUGCUCUUCAGGGUAUUGAAUUCUGGUCAAAUGUAUGUGAUGAAGAAGUGGAUUUAGCCAUUGAAGCUUCAGAAGCAGCAGAACAAGGCAGACCUCCUGAACGAACUUCUCGCUUUUAUGCAAAAGGAGCACUACAAUAUUUAGUUCCCAUUCUCAUGCAGACUCUUACUAAGCAGGAUGAGCAUGAUGAUGAGGAUGACUGGAAUCCUUGUAAAGCAGCUGGAGUAUGUUUAAUGCUGAUGGCCACUUGCUGUGAAGAUGAUAUAGUUCCUCAUGUCCUGCCUUUUGUGAAAGACAAUAUAGCUAAUCCAGCAUGGCGUUACAGAGAUGCAGCAAUUAUGGCAUUUGGUUGUAUACUUGAAGGACCAGACCCUAGUCAGCUCAAACCCAUUGUGGAACAAGCUAUGCCAAUGCUAAUAGAGCUUAUGGCUGACCAGAGUGUGGUGGUGAGGGAUACAGUUGCAUGGACCAUUGGUCGUGUGUGUGAGCUCAUUUCUGAAGCAGUAAUAAAUGAAAACUAUCUUAAACCUCUUCUCGAAACCUUGGUAAAAGGCCUUUCAGCUGAACCAAGAGUUGCAUCUAAUGUAUGCUGGGCUUUCAACAGUUUAGCAGAAGCAGCCUAUGAUGCAGCAGAAGUUCCUAAUGAAGGAGCUGAACCACAGACAUACUGCUUAUCAGAUUAUUUUGAAGUUAUUGUCCACAAGCUGCUUGAAACAACAGAAAGACCUGAUGGAAACCAAGCAAACUUGCGUAGUGCUGCUUAUGAGGCAUUAAUGGAAAUGGUUAAGAACAGUCCUAGUGAUUGUUAUAUGUUUGUUCAGAAGACAACAAUGAUUAUUCUAGAGAGACUUCAGCAUGUGUUAGCUCUUGAAGGCCACAUUCAAAACACCUCUGAUAGAGUUCAGUACAAUGAUUUACAAUCACUGCUGUGUGCCACCUUACAGAGUGUUUUAAGGAAAAUGACAUCUGAAGAUGCUCCCAAAAUAUCUGAUGCUAUUAUGACAGCUCUACUCCAAAUGUUCAACUCAAGUAGCUGCAAAUCUGGGGGUGUUCAGGAAGAUGCCUUAAUGGCAGUGUCCACAUUGGUUGAAGUUCUAGGUGAACAGUUUCUGAAGUAUAUGGAGGCUUUUAGGCCAUUUUUGGCAUUGGGAUUAAAAAACCAUGCAGAAUAUCAGGUGUGUACAGCUGCUGUUGGUUUAACUGGGGACAUUUGUAGAGCUCUUGGAACCAAAGUUUUUCCCUAUUGUGAUGAUAUAAUGACAAUGCUAUUAGAAAAUUUAGGGAAUAAUAAUGUUCAUCGCUCAGUGAAACCCCACAUCCUCUCUGUAUUUGGUGAUAUAGCUCUAGCCAUAGGUCCCGAAUUUAAAAAGUAUCUGGAGAUUGUUCUGCAAACUUUAAUGCAGGCAUCUUCAGCUCAUAUAGAGAAGACUAUGACAUGGUAGAGUAUCUAAAUGCACUUCGUGAAGGAUGUUUAGAAGCUUACACAGGUAUUGUUCAGGGACUCAAAGGGGACCAAAGUGCACCAAGCUCCGAUGUCCAGCUUGUUUUACCUCACGUACAGUAUGUAGUAGAAUUCAUCAAACACCUAGCUCAAGACCCAGAUCACUCAGAUGAGAACAUAGCUGCUUGUGCUGGUCUUAUUGG
rnacentral:misc_RNA from 1 species